CGCCAUUGCACUCCAGGCUGGGUAACAAGAACGAAACUCCGUCUCAAAAAAAAAAAAAAAAGAAAGUCCAGUUCUUCGCUUCUUUUCUCUGCUCUCGUCACUUGCACAGCAGCCCACAGCUCUGGUGAAAGGCCAAGGUAAAGUGGCUGUCUCCUUAAGACAGUGCACUCAAAACUCCUCACGGCACCAAGAAUUGCCAUUCUUUGAGUAAUUAAGACAAUUGCUAUUGCUAUUGUCUAAUUACCCAAAAAUCUAAAACCUCUCUUUAAUUCUUAAACAACUUCCAUUUAGACUUUAGUCAACUAGGAUACUGAAUACCAGUUUUUAAGUGAAAUUUAUGAAAGCGAUUAAACAAUUUCACCAGCUCAGUCUAAAAGCAGUUUAGAGCAGGCUCAUCUUCCUCCCCCACAAAAAACAGAAUUGGUCACCAAGUGGCCAAAGUUAAUGUUGCUUUUAUUAACCCAAGUUACAGAGCAUACUAUUGGAAUAACAUCAAAAUGUUGUCUUCAAAAAACUGUUCUACACCAUUGCCAGAACUGACUUCUGGCAGAUAACAAAUUGUUAAGUUUGGUUACCCUAAGUGUAUUUUAGCUUCCUGGCAACAAUUUGCUAGACUCAGUCCGUUUCCCAACAUUACAUUUAAAAACAGAGUUCUAUAAUCGUAUCCAUUUCCCACCACUAAUGAGGAAAAGUAAGAUCUAUCGAUAGUCCCAAUUCCAUUUCUUUGUGCGUUCUGUGCAGCUAAGCAGGAUCACAUAAAGUCACAAGUGAUAGUGCAGGAAUGCUAGAGUCACCCAUAAAGCCAGUGACAAAAAUGGACCUGGAGAAUGAAGUACUCAGCAACUGAAAAAGUGAAAAUAAAUAAGGAUGUUAAGUCGAGUUCUCAGAAAAAGUCGUGAAGAUAGAUAUCUGGAAGGUGCUUUUAGGAGCACCAUACCCUUCAAACACACAUCCAAGGGCACAGAACGCUCUGUGACGCAGCACUGCACGCAGCGAUCAACGCUGUGCCGCAGUCAAUGGUAUUUCAGCUGAAAGGGACAAGAGACCCAAUUAAAACAGGCUUAAACUGGAAGGACAUAUAUUAUCUCACAUAGGAAGGCUGGGGAAAGAGUAACCGUAGGUUGACUAAUUGAGUAGCCAAGUAAUAUUUUAGUAGCCAAGUACUAUUCUACGCUACCUUUUUUUUCUCUGCAAGUAUGUUGAUGUUUCCCUUUUUGGUUGCAAAAUGAUUCCAUCGAUUGCAAACAUCACUUCCCUCUGCAAAGACUUCUCUAAAUAUGUGUCAAUAAGAGGGCCUCAUUGAUUUGGCAUCUUAAGUUACUUUCCAAGCCUAAAUUUUCCUCAUAUUAAGUUAAAUUAUUUGAAUUUUCUUUGUAUGUGGCAUUUGGCUGGAUUUACUUUUUAUAACAUAAUUUAUUUUAAUGUGAUUUAAAACAUUCACGUUCAUUGUGAUAACUGCUCUGUUUGGCUUAUCUAUGCCAUAUUAUUUCAUGAUUUUUAUUUUUUAAUCUUACCAGAUUUGAGUCUGAAAAAGCCUGUUGUAAGGGAAGAUAGAGAGGGACCAGAUUAUGCAGGGAUUUGCUGACCAUUAUAAGAAUUUAGGAUUUGUUUUAAAGCAAUGGGGAGGCAUUGAAUUGUUUUGAACAGGGUUGUCCUUGAUUCAUUAUACAUCUUAAGAUCAAGCUAACCAUUAAAAGGGAGACUGGAGGAAAGAAUGGAAGCAAUAAGACCAUUUAGGAGGAUGUCAGUUGUAGUACAGGUAAUCAAUGAAGGUGACCUGGAUUGGGUGGUAGCGACGGUCAGAGAGGGCAAGGUGAACUGGAUU